rnacentral:piRNA from 1 species
UCAAAAUGUGCCACCUGGAAGCAAGUC